CCAAAGGCUCUUUUCAGAGCCACUCAAUAAGUCGGAGAAAGUGGCU
rfam:Ictidomys tridecemlineatus contig125125, whole genome shotgun sequence.